UACGUAGGCAGCGAGCGUUGUUCGGAAUUACUGGGCGUAAAGAGUGUGUAGGCGGUGCUCUAAGUUCGGUGUGAAAUCUCCUGGCUUAACUGGGAGGGUGCGCCGGAAACUGGAGUGCUUGAGCGUGGGAGAGGAAAGCGGAAUUCCUGGUGUAGCGGUGAAAUGCGCAGAUAUCGGGAAGAACACCCGUGGCGAAGGCGGUUCUCUGGGACGGUACUGACGCUGAGACGCGAAAGCGUGGGGAGCGAACAGG
rnacentral:rRNA from 1 species